AAGCCACAGCUUCCUCGUGAGCCCUGAGCUGCGGGCCGCGGACGCUGACCUCCUACCACCCAACCUCGCUCGAGCUCGCCCACCUGGAGAAGGGCCCCGGCUGUGCCCCGGGGACGCCCCCACGCGGGAAAUACUCACGGCUCCCGCAGGCGCAGGCGGCUGCGCGGGGCGCAUCGUCUCCGGGGGCUCCGGCCUCCUCGAGAGCAGCCGAACGCGGGGCUGGGCUACCUCCUUGCUGUGGGGCAUCAGAUUAUUUUAGCACCAGCGGAAGGAACGGACGGAAACUGAAGUCACAUGGAGAGCGGGCUGCUCGGCGACUCAGCACAGGCUCACUCAGACCCGGCCUCUUAGAGGGAAGCGCGGCGCGGGCGCGGGGGUGGGGCGGGCCGGGGGAGCGGGGCCCGAACACCUGCCGGCCUAGCGGCCGAGCAGCGGGGAUGUUUAGACGAUCUUCCAGCAAUGCGACCGAGGCUCCCCCGGCUUUCUUGCGUUGGUGCCUUGGCAGGGCUGGGGGCGGCCAGCUAGGGGCCCCUUGCCUAUGAGGUCUGCUGACCCAGAAACUUUGCUACGAGCUUCCAGCCAAGGACCAAGCUGAGGCCGACUUUGGGAACGGCAGCACCGUGGUAAAGAGGCACAGCCUGUCGUCUGGCAGGGUCAGCCGCUCAGCCAGUCUGUCUUCUUAUCCACUCAGCCGGUCCUUGUGGAUCAUCUCCUUUACGGACCCUGUGUUAGAAAGAAGGGGAAUUGCUUUGUCGAGGACUGUCAGAGAGUGCCAAGAGCUUCUUGAUCUUAGACUGCGCGGAUGGGUUUUUUUGUACCUGAUGUGUACAAAGUUCCCUGCCAGCUCUUGCCAAGAAUUCAAAGGAGUAAGAAUAAUUGAUCAUAUAGCCAUCAUUGAAGCAGCGCCAGACACUGUGCUAAGAGCUUCAUAUGCAUUACCCCAGCGCUCCUGUUCUCGAGGAACUACUGUCGUCUAGAGAAGGUGAAAUAUUUACAGUGCCUGCUGCGUGUGGAGUGACGUGGACCACCAUAGUCGGGGGCUCAGACAAGGGGCCUCCAGUUCUGAUCUCUCUCACUCCCCUUCAAAUCUGAAACGUUGAACUGUCCUGCAGGAUUGGGUCACCUCUCUUAUAGCCUGUGAUUUGGGAUUGUGUGUAGCAUUGUCCAUCCUAAGAGAACAGGAGCCAAGUCCUUUUCACUCCAAACAUCUGGCACAUUGUCUCUGCUUUCUACAAUAUUCACUCAUGGCCGGGCACAGAGGCUCAGGCUUGUAAUCCUAGCAUUUUGGCAGACCAAGGCAGGUGGACCGCCUGAGUGCAAGACCAGCCUGGGCAACAUACUGAGACUCCAUAUGUACAAAAAAUUUAAAACUUAGCCAGACCUGGUGGCACGCACCUGUAGUCCCAGCUAUUUGGGAGGCUGAGGUGGGAGGAUCACCUGAGCACAGGGAGGUUGAGGCUGCAGUGAGCCAAGAUCACGCCAUUGCACUUCAGCCUGUGUGAUAGAGUGUGACUCCGUCUUUAAAAAAAUAAAAAUAAUUUUAAAAAUAAAAUAUUAUCUCAUAAUGGUAAUAACAAUCACACCAAUGAAAAAG
rnacentral:lncRNA from 1 species